AGUGAACGCUGGCGGUAGGCCUAACACAUGCAAGUCGAACGGCAGCACAGUAAGAGCUUGCUCUUACGGGUGGCGAGUGGCGGACGGGUGAGGAAUACCUCGGAAUCUACUUUUUCGUGGGGGAUAACGUAGGGAAACUUACGCUAAUACCGCAUACGACCUACGGGUGAAAGCAGGGGAUCUUCGGACCUUGCGCGAUUGAAUGAGCCGCUGCCGGAUUAGCUGGUUGGCGGGGUAAAGGCCCACCAAGGCGACGAUCCGUAGCUGGUCUGAGAGGGUGAUCAGCCACACUGUAACUGAGACACGGUCCAGACUCCUACGGGAGGCAGCAGUGGGGAAUAUUGGACAAUGGGCGCAAACCUGAUCCAGCCAUACCGCGUGGGUGAAGAAGGCCUUCGGGUUGUAAAGCCCUUUUGUUGGGAAAGAAAAGCGGCAGGUUAAUACCCCGCUGUUCUGACGGUACCCAAAGAAUAAGCACCGGCUAACUUCGUG
rnacentral:rRNA from 1 species